AUGUGUGGAUUAUUCAGAACUCAAGAGGUGGAUGUCGAUCCACAAAUGCAACGAGUCAAGUUUUUCGUGUUCACUCCUCGCGAGAUUCAACUCAACUCUCUUAAACAACACAUCACCAUGUUCUUCCUCGGCAAGAAAACCAGUAGCGAGAAAUCAUCAACGCCCAAUCAAGCGAUUCAACAACGGAAAAAGGAAGCAGAAGAAGACGUAGAAGGAAGAAUAAAAAGAGAAAUAAGAAAGAAUAUUCGAGGUAGAAGUAAGAAGUACAGGAAGAAAGAUGUUGUGCAAUAG